rnacentral:rRNA from 1 species
GAUGAACGCUGGCGGCGUGCUUAACACAUGCAAGUCGAACGAUGAAGCUCAGCUUGCUGGGUGGAUUAGUGGCGAACGGGUGAGUAACACGUGAGUAACCUGCCCUUAACUCUGGGAUAAGCCUGGGAAACUGGGUCUAAUACCGGAUAGGAGCGUCCACCCCAUGGUGGGUGUUGGAAAGAUUUUUCGGUUUUGGAUGGAUUCGCGGCCUAUCAGCUUGUGGGUGAGGUAAUGGCUCACCAAGGCGACGACGGGUAGCCGGCCUGAGAGGGUGACCGGCCACACUGGGACUGAGACACGGCCCAGACUCCUACGGGAGGCAGCAGUGGGGAAUAUUGCACAAUGGGCGCAAGCCUGAUGCAGCGACGCCGCGUGAGGGAUGACGGCCUUCGGGUUGUAAACCUCUUUCAGUAGGGAAGAAGCGAAAGUGACGGUACCUGGAGAAGAAGCACCGGCUAACUACGUG